UGUAGUAGUGUUAACAUGUUAUAACUGGUAUAUGAAGACAGUGUAGUAGUGUUAACAUGUUAUAACUGGUAUAUGAAGACAGUAUAGUAGUGUUAUAACUGGUAUAUGAAGACAGUGUAGUAGUGUUAACAUGUUAUAACUGGUAUAUGAAGACAGUGUAGUAGUGUUAACAUGUUAUAACUGGUAUAUGAAGACAGUGUAGUAGUGUUAACAUGUUAUAACUGGUAUAUGAAGACAGUGUAGUAGUGUUAACAUGUUAUAACUGGUAUAUGAAGACAGUGUAGUAGUGUUAACAUGUUAUAACUGGUAUAUGAAGACAGUGUAGUAGUAUUAACAUGUUAUAACUGGUAUAUGAAGACGGUGUAGUAGUAUUAACAUGUUAUAACUGGUAUAUGAAGACAGUGUAGUAGUGUUAACAUGUUAUAACUGGUAUAUGAAGACAGUGUAGUGGUAUUAACAUGUUAUAACUGGUAUAUGAAGACAGUGUAGUAGUGUUAACAUGUUAUAACUGGUAUAUGAAGACAGUGUUAUAACUGGUAUAUGAAGACAGUGUAGUAGUGUUAUAACUGGUAUAUGAAGACAGUGUAGUAGUGUUAACAUGUUAUAACAGGUAUAUGAAGACAGUGUAGUAGUGUUAACAUGUUAUAACAGGUAUAUGAAGACAGUGUAGUAGUGUUAACAUGUUAUAACUGGUAUAUGAAGACAGUGUAGUAGUGUUAACAUGUUAUAACUGGUGUAUAUUUGUAUAUAAUCGAACACCUUUGGGAUGAAUUGGAAAGCCUACUGCAGGGCCUAAUCGCCCCCAACAUCAGUACCCGUUUGGAAUGAGAUGUUGGAUGAGCAGUUGUCCACGUACCUUUUGGUUAUGUAGUGUGUCUAUAACAUGUAGAUAUGUCAAGGUAGCCUGGGUGCCAGUCAGUUUGUGCUCUCUUGCCAACUCCUUAUGGAUUUUUGAUGGCAUGACACUGAGUGUGAAGUGUUAACGAUUAUUACUGUGUAAUACCAGGUAUAUGAAGUGUUAUAACUAUUACUGUGUAAUACCAGGUAUAUGAAGUGUUAUAACUAUUACUGUGUAAUACCAGGUAUAUGAAGUGUUAUAACUAUUACUGUGUAAUACCGGGUAUAUGAAGUGUUAUAACUAUUACUGUGUAAUACCAGGUAUAUGAAGUGUUAUAACUAUUACUGUGUAAUACCAGGUAUAUGAAGUGUUAUAACUAUUACUGUGUAAUACCAGGUAUAUGAAGCGUUAUAACUAUUACUGUGUAAUACCAGGUAUAUGAAGUGUUAUAACUAUUACUGUGUAAUACCAGGUAUAUGAAGCGUUAUAACUAUUACUGUGUAAUACCAGGUAUAUGAAGUGUUAUAACUAUUACUGUGUAAUACCGGGUAUAUGAAGUGUUAUAACUAUUACUGUGUAAUACCAGGUAUAUGAAGUGUUAUAACUAAUGUGUAAUACCAGGUAUAUGAAGUGUUAUAACUAUUACUGUGUAAUACCAGGUAUAUGAAGUGUUAUAACUAUUACUGUGUAAUACCAGGUAUAUGAAGUGUUAUAACUAUUACUGUGUAAUACCAGGUAUAUGAAGUGUUAUAACUAUUACUGUGUAAUACCAGGUAUAUGAAGUGUUAUAACUAUUACUGUGUAAUACCAGGUAUAUGAAGUGUUAUAACUAUUACUGUGUAAUACCAGGUAUAUGAAGUGUUAUAACUAAUGUGUAAUACCAGGUAUAUGAAGUGUUAUAACUAAUGUGUAAUACCAGGUAUAUGAAGUGUUAUAACUAUUACUGUGUAAUACCAGGUAUAUGAAGUGUUAUAACUAUUACUGUGUAAUACCAGGUAUAUGAAGUGUUAUAACUAUUACUGUGUAAUACCAGGUAUAUGAAGUGUUAUAACUAUUACUGUGUAAUACCAGGUAUAUGAAGUGUUAUAACUAUUACUGUGUAAUACCAGGUAUAUGAAGUGUUAUAACUAAUGUGUAAUACCAGGUAUAUGAAGUGUUAUAACUAUUACUGUGUAAUACCAGGUAUAUGAAGUGUUAUAACUAUUACUGUGUAAUACCAGGUAUAUGAAGUGUUAUAACUAUUACUGUGUAAUACCAGGUAUAUGAAGCGUUAUAACUAUUACUGUGUAAUACCAGGUAUAUGAAGCGUUAUAACUAUUACUGUGUAAUACCAGGUAUAUGAAGUGUUAUAACUAUUACUGUGUAAUACCAGGUAUAUGAAGUGUUAUAACUAUUACUGUGUAAUACCAGGUAUAUGAAGUGUUAUAACUAUUACUGUGUAAUACCAGGUAUAUGAAGCGUUAUAACUAUUACUGUGUAAUACC